GGGGACCCGCAAGCGGUGGAUGAUGUGGAUUAAUUCGAUGCAACGCGAAAAACCUUACCUACCCUUGACAUGGUCGGAACCCCGCUGAGAGGUGGGGGUGCUCGAAAGAGAACCGAUACACAGGUGCUGCAUGGCUGUCGUCAGCUCGUGUCGUGAGAUGUUGGGUUAAGUCCCGCAACGAGCGCAACCCUUGUCCUUAGUUGCUACCCGCAAGGGAGCACUCUAAGGAGACUGCCGGUGACAAACCGGAGGAAGGUGGGGAUGACGUCAAGUCCUCAUGGCCCUUAUGGGUAGGGCUUCACACGUCAUACAAUGGUCGGUACAGAGGGUCGCCAACCCGCGAGGGGGAGCUAAUCCCAGAAAACCGAUCGUAGUCUGGAUUGCAGUCUGCAACUCGACUGCAUGAAGCUGGAAUCGCUAGUAAUCGCGGAUCAGCAUGUCGCGGUGAAUACGUUCCCGGGUCUUGUACACACC
rnacentral:rRNA from 1 species